UACGGGGGGGGGCAAGCGUUGUUCGGAAUUACUGGGCGUAAAGGGCUCGUAGGCGGCCAACUAAGUCGGAUGUGAAAUCCCCAGGCUUAACCUGGGAACUGCAUCCGAUACUGGAUGGCUUGAAUCCGGGAGAGGGAUGCAGAAUUCCAGGUGUAGCGGUGAAAUGCGUAGAUAUCUGGAGGAAUACCGGUGGCGAAGGCGGGUCUCUGGGCCGAUACUGACGCUGAGGAGCGAAAGCGUGGGGAGCAAACAGG
rnacentral:rRNA from 1 species